CGCCUCCCGAGCCUCCCCGCCGGCCCCUCCUCCCCGCGCGGCCCGGGCCCCCGCGCCGCCCCAAGGGAGGCCGGCUCCCUCCCGGGGGCGGCCGCAGGCGCCCCCGCACCUGGCGCCCCCUCCCUGAAGGGCACGCCGUCCUCCCGGGCCGGCCCGCCUCCUUCCCACCCCCGCGCUCCUAACGGUCGCCCUCCGGCCCCUCGGAACCCCGGUCUGGCCCCCCACGUCCCUCCGGCUGCAUCCUCCGCCCGGGGGCCCGGGACCCUAAUGCCCGGCGCUCCCCGGAGAUUUCUCCCAACGUGCCUCCGGGUUCUUCUCUGCAUGAGCUGGGCCCGGCGGGUCUUAAAGUGCAAGUGAUCCGUGACUUUGGCUAACGUGGAAGCCUCUUCUCUUAACCACAGUACCUCGGCUGGGUCUGCGCCUACGUUUCAGCGAGCGACAUUAGUGCUUGGUCACUGGGGUCUCCUUCCUCCCGCUUGCCGGCCGAGUGAAACACCUUAGUCUGUCCUGUGGCCGGGCUGGGCCCUUCCCAGCCCAUCUCUCCUGAUGCAGCUGCUUCCCAGUCACGGCCCCACACACUUUGCCUUUUUUAUUUUUUCAAGUUAACUUUAAAGAGACCCUCCCCUUGCAGGUCGUACGCAGUCACUACUAGAAUUCGCAGUAAGAAUCCAGGUCUGGUCCAUCACAGCCCCGGGCCUGGCCCGGGGAGAUAGACGCUCAGCCAGUAAUUGUUAGCCCAGCUCUUUCCUCCAUUCACCCCAGUCUCACUCCCCUCUUGCUUCUCAUCUCUGCUUUUCCAGUAAUCAGCCUUCACAGUCUCUUUGCUGCCCCUGGAAGCUGACACUCAGUUGCAGUUUAGCCUCCUGGCUUUGCCCCUGAAACACCUUGGGUACUAACAAACAGACUGGUCCCCUUAGCUUCUCACGGUGUGGGAGUUUGCUCUCUGGUCCUUCGUCUGUACCAUUUUCUGUGCUGUCCCAAGCCACCCACCCUCACGCCAGCCUCAGUCUUAGUUCCUGGAUGGCAGGUCCAGCGUGUCACCAGGCAGGGCUGAAAGAUAUCUGGGCUUUGAGUUGCUGCCAUGGCAGGGACCGGGGACCUCGAGGGUCCCGUAUGGUGGUGACACUCAAGUGAGUUCUGUUCUUUGACUCCUGGCCUGGGUUUCUCAGCCAGUGGAUGUGUCAGUAUUGUGUGUGAUUUGAUGGAUGAAAGGACUCUGGUUUGUGCUGGUUUCUACAUCUGUGAUUGGAGUUUGGGAUUAAAAAAAAGCCCCACUUCCGAGCAGAGGAGGUGAGAAGAGGUGGCUCUGGGAAUGAUUUUUUAAAUGCUAAUGAGAAAAAUGGUUGAAAACUCAGUGUAUGCUUGUGAGUUUGGGGUGGUUCCCGCCGAGAGUGUGCCCUUUCUCCAGGCUCGGGUAGAGUGUCAAAGACAUCGGGGUCUCCUGUCAGGGCGGCUACAGCAUCCCUUCCUUGUUUUCCCUGGCUGGAGCCCAGGCCUCAGCAAGUGGGCAGAAGGGAUCAAAUGAGGUAAAGUGUGAAAGUGCUUUGAAAACUGUUAACUACUAGACUCCUCAGGGCAUUGUCCUGACGGCUCAGAGGGCAGAGCUGGGUUAACAUACCUGCUGGGAGGAGCACAGGCUUGCACCUCUUAAGCCUCGGAGUUCCCUUCCUACCAUGCGUGGAGAAUCUUUCUUUCCACCCUGAGAAAGGGCGGAGUCACCUCCAACAAGCUUGGGGCUGGGCACUUGCUCAAAUGUUGGGGAAUUUGGGAUUCUGCUUCUGUUAAUGGUGGUGCCUUCCUGUGCCAAGGCGCAUUGCUCUGGAUUGGGGCUAAUUUUAGGGGUGAUGGAAUGAGGAAAUAAUGUUCUUAACUUAGUGUGUACUGGGACCGCCUAGUCUCUGGAUCUUUUCCUUCUCCUGGUGAUCUCCAAACGCUGAAGAACAGGCUCCCCUCCUGUUCCUCAAGCCUGUUGUGAACACCAGGAUCAGUGUCCUCGCCCCUGGACUCCGGUAGGGGGCAGCCUUUUAAUGACAAUAAUUCAGAUACCCCAGGGAGGGAGGGUAUAGUGAGGGUUGAGGAGAAGGGGUGGGGGGAGGUUGUGGAUUGAUGAGGCGCACAGAUCCUGAGAAGUCGGAGCUAAGCAGGACACCCUUAGAUCAGAUAACCAGAGAGGGAGGCUGUCUCCAGUCCCCUGCCUGCUGCCUCCUGCUCUUUGCUUCACUGGAAAGGGAUCCAAAUGCUGGGCUUUGAAAGUUCAUGAUAGAGUUAGAACAAUUUUGUUUAAUCUGUUCUUUUCUGGAGGAUUUCCCUCCUGGCAGGAUUUCAGACUUCUCUCAUGGGACAGUGUAAUUAGGGGAUGAUUCCCUCACUCUUCAGAGAGGGGAAUGAACUGGAGUAAAUUUGGUUUCCUUGUCUUCCAUUCUUCCCCCUAAACAGACAGUGGGUGUGGUUACCCUCUGCCCGAGGUGUACAGAUGGGUUUCCUAAUUCUGCCACUGUUGUUAAUCUGUGUGUGUGUGUGUCGCUCAGUCGUGUCUACUCUCUGCAAACGCCAGGCUCCUCUCUCCAUGGGAUUCUCCAGGCAAGAAUAAUGGAUGGGUUGCCAUUCCUUUUCCCAGGGGAUCUUCCUGACCCAGGGAUUGAACCUGGGUCUCCCGCAUUGCAGGCGGAUUCUUUACUGUCUGAGCCACCAGGGAAGCCCCUGGGUAUUGAUAAUCUGGGUCCAGAUGAUUCCUUGUUGUGGGGGGAAUCCUGUGCAUCGUAGGAUGUUUAGUAGUGUUGCUGACUGACCUCUGCUCGUGAGAUGCUGGCUGCAUUUCCCAGUCAUGCCUACCAGAAACGUCCCUCAAGAUGUGCCCUGGGGAGCAGCGUUGCCCCCGGUUGAGAAGCCGUAGAAAGGGUGCGCGCCAGUUUGGCCCUAGAAGCCACGGGGUGCUUGUGUGCUGCUCGUGGUCAGAAGGAGGGCCAGAGAACCACCAGCUCCUGAGACCCAGACCUCCCCUGGCUGGGCCCGCCCAGCCACUCGACUUUCCUCACCCUCCGCUCCCCUGCUUCCUCUCACCUCUGCAGUUUCCCUGCUUCUCAGCCUGGAGCCAGCCACUUUCCCUCAGUUUGCUCCUUAAAACCACGACAGAAGGUGACGUCCCGAAGAGGAAGGCACCUGGCGGCCAGCCGCCUUCGCCACUCCCUGGACGGGUGGGCGGGUGAGUCGUCCCCUUUCUGUCCCCUGCUCCACCGCCGGCUCUUCGGCCUGUGUGUCUGGGAGAUGGGGCUCUUCUGGGGUGGCCUGGAAGAGGCUCAGAACAGCCUCUCCUGAGUUUGUUAGGAAGUGGGCUGUUUUCUUGGAGUGGAGAAGAUAGGUAUGGGAGAGCUAUCCCCAGGUGUCUUCUUUUUCCCUUAGACCUUUUUUAAAUGGUAGUCAGAUGUAAUAUACACCAUUUUAGUCAUUUUUAAGGAUACAAUUUUGCAGCGUUAAAUAUAUUCAUGUUGUUGUGCAGCCAUCCACCUCAUCCCUGGAACUUUUUCCUCUGCCCCAUUUCAGCUGAAACUGUCCCUACUUAAAAACAACUCCCACUCCUUGCCUCCCAGCCCUGGCACCACUGUUCUUCUCUGUCCCUCUGAAUUUUACUCACCUUGGAAUUUCAGGUGAGAGGAAUUAUCCAGUAUUUGUUCAUUUGUGAUUGCCAUGUUUUACUUAGCUAAUGUUUUCGAGAUUCAUCCAUUGGGUGAAUUCCAUAAGCCUUGUAGCAUCCACAGACUUAACCGGCCUCCACCAUUCUGGGAGGCUGAGUCGAAUUGAGUGACGGGAAGAACUUUGCAACAGGCUUGUCUUCUGACGGCCGUGUUCGCCGGGGAGUGUUCCAUCUCCGGAAAGGGCCAGCUGAGGCUUAGCAGAGGAGAUGCCCGGGCUGGGGGAGGUCAGCCCUGCUCUGGGCGGUGUCUAGCGCUGCAUCUCAACCUAGGCUGCUGGGAUUCUGGGGUGGGUCCUGUGUCUGGGGUGGGCUUUGCUUUGUCUUCUGGCCUGCAGCUGUGAUCGAGAGCCGCUUCCCAUGACCCCUCUGGUGGAAACCCUUCUUCCCCCUUCCCAGAGCGGUGGAGUCUCGGAGUUGAUGGGAACUGUGGAGGCGCUCCGGUUCAGCCCCCGCCCCAGCCAGUGAGGGAGGCCCUUGUACACGGCUCCCUGAGACCCUGCCUGCCUGCCCCGUGCUCAGAAACACCAGUGAUGAGCCACCUCCUGACAGCCUCUUCUGCUGUUCCUUAGAGGGACGGGCCACUGUCGCUGCCCCCACGCUUCUGUCAGCCCAGUGACUCUGACUUUAUUUCCGCUUUAUGGGAAAGGACCUUGGUGUUGAUCCUUGUUUGGUGAGUGAGUCCUGGGCAUGCUGGCCAGACUUGCCUGCAUGCAGCCUUUGGUGUGCCCCCCCACCUCUGGCUUGGGAAUACCCCCCUGCUCCCCUUAUACCAGGUUUCUCCCCCAACUGAGUCUCAGGAUUCAGAGCCAAGCACCCAGACCUGAGUCUUUUCAGGGGAGAGGUAAUUUUGCUCCCACAUAAAUUUCUUUU
ensembl:lncRNA